rnacentral:rRNA from 1 species
AGAAAGAUUCUGGUUGAUCCUGCCGGACCCCACUGCUAUCGGGAUAGGACUAAGACAUGCUAGUUGAGCGCUUCCAGCCAACACGGGAGCGCAGCGCACAGCUCAGUAACACGUGGCUAGUCUGCCCUUGGGACCGGAACACCCCCGGGAAACUGGGGCUAAUUCUCGAUAGGUGAAGAACUCUGGAAUGAGUCUCCGCUUAAAAGACGCUUACGUUAUGCUCGUAGGCGCCGCCCAAGGAUGAGGCCGCGACCGAUCAGGUUGUUGGUGAGGUAAUGGCUCACCAAGCCUUUUACCGGUGCGGGCCGUGAGAGCGGGAGCCCGGAGAUGGGCACUGAGACAAGGGCCCAGGCCCUACGGGGCGCAGCAGUCGCGAAAACUUUGCAAUACACGAAAGUGUGACAGGGCUAUCCCGAGUGCCAUCCGCUGAAGAAGGCUUUUACCCAGUCUAGAACGCUGGGGGAAUAAGGAGAGGGCAAGUCUGGUGUCAGCCGCCGCGGUAAUACCAGCUCUCCGAGUGGUGUGGAUGUUUAUUGGGCCUAAAGCAUCCGUAGCUGGCUAGGUUAGUCCCCUGUUAAAUCCACCGAAUUAAUCGUUGGAUUGCGGGGGAUACUGCUUGGCUAGGGGACGAGAGAGGCAGACGGUAUUUCCGGGGUAGGGGUGAAAUCCUAUAAUCCCGGGAGGACCACCAGUGGCGAAGGCUGUCUGCUAGAACGCGCCCGACGGUGAGGGAUGAAAGCUGGGGGAGCGAACCGGAUUAGAUACCCCGGCAGUCCAGGGUAUAAACGCUGCGGGCUUGGUGUCGGAGGUCCUACGUGGGCGUCCGGUGCCGGAGAGAAAUUGUUAAGCCUGCCGCUUGGGGAGUACGGUCGCAAGACUGAAACUUAAAGGAAUUGGCGGGGGAGCACCGCAACGGGAGGAGCGUGCGGU